CACCAUAUUAAUGUUAACCAAUAGUCAAAUAGCUGUUUAGCCAUUAAAAGCAAUGCCGCCUUUCUAUAAACUCGGCAAUCAUAAACAGUAGUUUAAUUCCAGCUAUCAUUACUGUAUUUAAGGUUGUAAUUAUAUCAAAUAAUGUUUAAUGUGUCAAAGAAGCAUCACCAUUGGGAUGUGUGAGGAUGCUUUAAAGAAAUAGUUCACUCAAUUAACCUUCAAGUAAUCUAAGAUGCAAACAAGUUUUAUUUUCUCACAGAUUUGGAGAAAUGUAGCAUUGCAUCACUCAUCAAUUUAUAGUUACACAUUUACACUAUUAAAUGAUCAACGUUGAGUUUUUUUGUGAGGCUGAAGAGCGCUGACACCAUUAAACAACAUUAGUUCUGACGUUUCUACUAUUUCUCAGCUAUAGUGACUCAUUCAGCUGUAAAUGCAUGUGCACUGUAGUCUAUUCACACGAUUUCAUCGUUUCAUGCUUUUUUAUUUUGAUCACAUUUUAAUUCUAGUGUUUUUAUGUGACACUGUUUUGUAUGUUGUUUAUAAAGUACUUUGAGAACUUGUCCUGAUUAUAAAAGCGAUGCAUAUUCAGCUUUUUUAAUUGAGGAUGUGUAUCAGAUAGAACACAGCUGUAUAAUUGAAUGAAAUAUAUCUCAAUGCAGCUGUAGUUCAGUCUUUCUCCACUAAAGGACAAACCAGUGUCAAACCCAGUCAUGUCGAGGUUCACCACAAGAGGUCACUGCGGGAUUGAUUUGCUUUUCUGCUUACACACUGGUUAGUGGUUUCGUCACUUAAUCUGUUUAUUCUACUUCCUUGUAUAGCAUCUUUUGUAUUUCUGAUUGUUCACAUUAAAAAGUGAAUAAAUU